UACGGAGGGUGCAAGCGUUAUCCGGAUUCACUGGGUUUAAAGGGUGCGUAGGUGGGCUGGUAAGUCAGUGGUGAAAUCUCCAGGCUUAACUUGGAAACUGCCAUUGAUACUAUUUGUCUUGAAUACUGUGGAGGUCAGCGGAAUAUGUCAUGUAGCGGUGAAAUGCUUAGAUAUGACAUAGAACACCAAUUGCGAAGGCAGCUGGCUACACAAAUAUUGACACUGAGGCACGAAAGCGUGGGGAUCAAACAGG
rnacentral:rRNA from 1 species